AUUGAACGCUGGCGGCAGGCCUAACACAUGCAAGUCGAACGGUAACAGGAAACAGCUUGCUGUUUCGCUGACGAGUGGCGGACGGGUGAGUAAUGUCUGGGAAACUGCCUGAUGGAGGGGGAUAACUACUGGAAACGGUAGCUAAUACCGCAUAACGUCGCAAGACCAAAGAGGGGGACCUUCGGGCCUCUUGCCAUCGGAUGUGCCCAGAUGGGAUUAGCUAGUAGGUGGGGUAACGGCUCACCUAGGCGACGAUCCCUAGCUGGUCUGAGAGGAUGAGCAGCCACAAUGGAACGGAGCCACGGUCCAGACUCCUACGGGAGGCAGCAGUGGGGAAUAUUGCACAAUGGGCGCAAGCCUGAUGCAGCCAUGCCGCGUGUAUGAAGAAGGCCUUCGGGUUGUAAAGUACUUUCAGCGGGGAGGAAGGGAGUAAAGUUAAUACCUUUGCUCAUUGACGUUACCCGCAGAAGAAGCACCGGCUAACUCCGUGCCAGCCGCCGCCGUAA
rnacentral:rRNA from 1 species